rnacentral:rRNA from 1 species
UACUAUACUAAAUUUUGUUUUUAAACUUGAAUAUUAAAAGGUAAAGUCUUUAAAUUCAAAGAAUUUGGCGGUAAUUUAGUCUUUUCAGAGGAACUUGUUUUUUAAUCGAUAAUCCACGAAAAAUCUUACUUGCUUUAAUAAAUAAUUAGUUUGUAUACCGUCAUUAUCAGAUAAUAUUGAAAAGUUAUAUUGUUGGGUUUUAAAUAAUAAUAAAAAUUAGAUCAAGGUGCAGCUUAUAGGUAAGUUAAAAUGAGUUACAAUUAAUUAAAUGUAAAAUGAAAUAAAUUUUGAAAUAUCUUUAGGAAGGUGGAUUUGGUUGUAAUUUAAAUUAGUAAGAUAAAAAGAUAUAAGCUCUAAAUUAU